rnacentral:rRNA from 1 species
AACGAACGCUGGCGGCAGGCUUAACACAUGCAAGUCGAACGCCCUAGCAAUAGGGAGUGGCAGACGGGUGAGUAACACGUGGGAACGUGCCUUUUGGUUCGGAACAACUCCGGGAAACUGGAGCUAAUACCGGAUAAGCCCUUCGGGGGAAAGAUUUAUCGCCAAAAGAUCGGCCCGCGUCUGAUUAGCUAGUUGGUGGGGUAAUGGCCCACCAAGGCGACGAUCAGUAGCUGGUCUGAGAGGAUGGCCAGCCACACUGGGACUGAGACACGGCCCAGACUCCUACGGGAGGCAGCAGUGGGGAAUAUUGGACAAUGGGCGCAAGCCUGAUCCAGCCAUGCCGCGUGAGUGAUGAAGGCCUUAGGGUUGUAAAGCUCUUUCGCCGAGGACGAUAAUGACGGUACUCGGAUAAGAAGCCCCGGCUAACUUCGUG